rnacentral:rRNA from 1 species
GACGAACGCUGGCGGCGUGCUUAACACAUGCAAGUCGAACGGACAGGCCCGGCGCUUGUUUGGUGCUCGUGUGGCGAACGGGUGAGUAGCACGUGAGUAACCUGCCCUUGACUGUGGGAUAACAUCUGGAAACUGGGGCUCUUACCCGGUAUGAUCUUCUGCUGCAUGUGGGUGGUUGGAAAGUUUCGGCGUUUGGGGGUCGACUCGCGGCGUAUCAGCUGGUUGGUGGGGUUGUGGCUUGCCAAGGCUUUGACGGGUAGCCGGCCUGAGAGGGUGACAGGCCACAUUAGGACUGAGAGACGGCCGAGACACCUACGGGAGGGAGCAGUGGGGAAUAUUGCACAAUGGGCGGAAGGCUGAUGCAGCAACGCCGCGUGCGGGAUGACGGCCUUCGGGUUGUAAACCGCUUUCGCCUGUGACGAAGCGUGAGUGAAGGUAAUGGGUACAGAAGCACAGGCUAACUACGGG